CUCCCCCAAUAAGCUAGCUUUUAGGGUGAGUUCUACCCAUGGGCUUUGAGACUUUGUUGGGUCCAUUAUUAAUGGGUGGGUUCUAUCAAAUUGGUAUCAGAGCCAACCGAUCCUCGGACAUGCAGAUGACGCAGCGGGAGAGGAGCACAAAGGGUGCGUAGCCGCCAGCGCCGUGGUCGUCGCUGUCUAAAGGGGGCGGUAUUGUUAGAGUCCCACAUCGGAAAUAUGUGGGAACAAUUGAGUCAAUAUAAUACCAUGGACACCCUCCGGCUUUGAGACUUUGUUGGGCCUAUUAUUAAUGGGUGGGUUCUAUCAGAAAGACCUGGGCUCUGAUCACCUGUCUCAUAAGGUUUGGUUAGACAACGUUUAUUUGCGACAUAUCUAUCUGCGGACUUCGUAUCUAUGUGUAUGAGUAUGACUAGUUGCAAAACAUCGCAUAAUAUCUUUCCUUCGAUUCCUUUCUCCUUCUCUGGACACUUUGCUUGGAGCUAAGAACUUGUACAGGUUAUACAUUCUCUUGUUCAUAUUCACCCGCAAUUGACUGUCUCAGGUUAUUCACCUGGUGGUAGACAUCUUGAAUAUCCUUGCUUUUUAUCUUACAGUCCAGAUGUGUCCCUUUCCACUUGUUACACAAGAGAGGGGGAUUGCAAAGAACAAGGAAACUGCUUCAAAUUAAUUUUUCCCUGUGGAAUUCCAAACAGGGCGAGCUAGAACCCACUGCAUUUUUAGUAUAUUCUAAAAAAAGAUUGACAUGUUGGUAAAUAUUAUUUCUUUUCUGUUCCUUUUCGCAGUUGAGAAUAUUAUCAAAUUGUUUGGUUCUCUGUAUUUUUAGACAGUCUCAGGGUGACGUUGGCGAGAAUAUUGCAAAACCAUGUUCAACAGAGAAGAGAAGUUCGCUGGUCAGCAUUGAUCAUCGGGGGAAAAGGAACAUUUUUAUUAUCUGGGGAUUGAAAUCCAUGCAUCUCAACCCAUUAUCUUCCUCCCGAUUGAUGCCAAGGGAUAUUUAAGAGAGGAAGUGAACUGAUAGGGAUUGGUUUGUAAUUGUUUGAUGGGCAAUACAUGUGGCGGUUCUUCAAAGGACCAGAUUUACCAGAGAUUUGAUCCAGCCGAAGGGACUUACAAGACAAACGCUUCCUGUGAUCCAUCAAAUUCUGGUAUUUCUCCUAUUUGCCUCAACGCCCAGGAGCUUGCGAAAGAGACCCCCACAAAGGCCAACAACGCAGUUCUUAGCCCUCGAAAAGAAGCCAUUAUGAGGCGUAACAGUGGGAACCAAGCCUGCUACGUUAUAGGUCACAAGACCCCAAACAUCCGAGAUCUUUUCUCGCUCGGGCAUAAACUAGGACAAGGACAAUUCGGAACUACUUAUCUGUGUACGGAGAUCUCCUCUGGCCGUGAAUAUGCAUGCAAGUCAAUAUCCAAACGAAAGUUGGUCUCCAAGGAAGAUGUGGAAGAUGUUCGAAGGGAAAUUCAGAUAAUGCACCAUCUGGCUGGCCACAAAAACAUUGUCACCAUUAAAGGUGCCUAUGAGGAUCCACUGUAUGUUCACAUAGUGAUGGAGCUUUGCUCUGGUGGGGAACUGUUCGAUAGGAUCAUCCAGAGAGGGCAUUACAGUGAGAGGAAAGCAGCUGAGCUGAUAAAGAUCAUUGUCAGUGUUGUUGAGGCUUGCCAUUCACUUGGUGUCAUGCACAGAGAUUUAAAGCCGGAGAAUUUCUUGCUGGUUAAUAGGGAUGACGACUUCUCUCUCAAAGCCAUUGAUUUCGGGCUUUCUGUCUUCUUCAAACCAGGUCAAAUAUUCACGGAUGUUGUCGGAAGUCCAUACUAUGUAGCUCCAGAGGUCCUUCUCAAGCACUACGGUCCUGAGGCUGACGUGUGGACCGCAGGCGUUAUACUAUACAUACUGUUGAGUGGAGUCCCUCCGUUCUGGGCAGAAACACAGCAAGGGAUCUUUGAUGCAGUAUUGAAGGGACAUAUUGACUUUGACUCUGACCCUUGGCCGCUAAUUUCUGACUCUGGAAAAGACUUGAUCCGUAGUAUGCUAUGUUCCAGGCCCUCUGAACGAUUGACUGCCCAUGAAGUGUUGCGCCAUCCUUGGAUCUGUGAAAAUGGAGUUGCACCGGACAAGGCAUUGGAUCCUGCAGUGCUUUCUCGUCUCAAGCAGUUCUCUGCAAUGAAUAAACUAAAGCAGAUGGCUUUAAGAGUGAUAGCUGAAAGCCUCUCCGAAGAAGAGAUCGCUGGAUUAAAGGAAAUGUUCAAGGCAAUGGAUACGGAUAAUAGUGGUGCUAUAACAUUUGAUGAGCUCAAAGCUGGGCUACGAAGAUAUGGUUCUACGCUUAAAGAUACCGAGAUUCGUAACCUUAUGGAGGCAGCAGAUGUUGACAACAGUGGGACCAUAGAUUAUGGUGAAUUUAUAGCUGCAACAAUCCAUCUGAACAAAUUAGAACGUGAGGAGCAUCUCCUCUCAGCAUUCAGGUACUUCGACAAGGAUGGGAGUGGUUACAUCACAAUUGAUGAGCUCCAGCAAGCAUGUGCGGAACAGGGAAUGAGUGAUGUCUUUCUAGAGGACGUGAUCAGAGAAGUCGACCAAGACAAUGUGGGAAACCUGCACUACCUGGACAUCAUCAGCUGGGAAAAAUCUGGAAUGGUUCAAGUUUUCUUACCUCUUUUCUGUGUUGUUUCAGGACGGAAGGAUCGAUUAUGGAGAAUUUGUCGCCAUGAUGCAAACAGGAAUCGCUGGAAUCGGUAGAAGAACAAUGGGAAAAAGCUUAAAUAUGAGCCUCAGAAGCUCUGGGAUCUCUUAGCGGUUAACAAGUGAUGACAGGGUUACGUACAGACCAUCUGAAUCUCCAGAGGUGAACGAAGCUGAGCCAGGAUGAGCUGACUUUGGGUCUUCCGUGUUUGAGACCUUCCCACUGAAGAUUUGGAUAGAGAAAAGUUGUGUAUGCCCUAGAAUGCUCUGGAUAUGUAAAUUAGGCACUGUGUACUGACAUUAUAUAGGGAGUUUGUGCACUGUUAAACAUUUGAGAUCUCUGUAAUAUGACGGAUAUGAAUAUAUCCUACCAAGUGAUUUAUUGCAGAUCUACAGUGGUUGUUCCAAUCACUGUUACAUCUUA